rnacentral:rRNA from 1 species
GAAUGCUAGUUCGAGUGCUCUUUAGCCAUGAUGAGGGCACGGCGCACAGNNUNAGNAACACGUUGGCUAACCUGCCCUUGGGAUAGGAAUACNNNCGGGAAACUGGGGCUAAUUCCCAAUAGGUGAAGAACUCUGGAAUGAGUCCCCGCCAGAAAAGACGCUUACGCCAUGCUUGUAGGCGCCGCCCAAGGAUGGGGCCGCGACCGAUCAGGUUGUUGGUGAGGUAACGGCUCACCAAGCCUUUUACCGGUACGGGCCGCGGGAGCGGGAGCCCGGAGAUGGGCACUGAGACAAGGGCCCAGGCCCUACGGGGUGCAGCAGUCGCGCAAACUUUGCAAUACACGAAAGUGUGACAGGGCUAUCCCGAGUGCCGCCCGCUGAGGGCGGCUUUUGCCCAGUAUAGCAAGCUGGGAGAAUAAGGAGAGGGCAAGUCUGGUGUCAGCCGCCGCGGUAAUACCAGCUCUCCGAGUGGUGUGGAUGUUUAUUGGGCCUAAAGCAUCCGUAGCUUGCUGAGCCANUCCCCUGUUAAAUCCAGCAAAUUAAUUGUUGGUGUGCGGGGGAUACUGCUCGGCUAGGGGACNAGAGAGGCAGACGGUAUUUUCGGGGUAGGGGUGAAAUCCUAUAAUCCCGGGAAGACCACCANGNGGCGAAGGCUGUCUG